AGAACUUAGCAGAGAUGCUUUGGUGGCCUUCGGGGAACUCUGAGACAGGUGCUGCAUGGCUGUCGUCAGCUCGUGUUGUGAAAUGUUGGGUUAAGUCCCGCAACGAGCGCAACCCUUAUCCUUUGUUGCCAGCGGUUAGGCCGGGAACUCAAAGGAGACUGCCAGUGAUAAACUGGAGGAAGGUGGGGAUGACGUCAAGUCAUCAUGGCCCUUACGAGUAGGGCUACACACGUGCUACAAUGGCGCAUACAAAGAGAAGCGACCUCGCGAGAGCAAGCGGACCUCAUAAAGUGCGUCGUAGUCCGGAUUGGAGUCUGCAACUCGACUCCAUGAAGUCGGAAUCGCUAGUAAUCGUGGAUCAGAAUGCCACGGUGAAUACGUUCCCGGGCCUUGUACACACCGCCCGUCACACCAUGGGAGUGGGUUGCAAAAGAAGUAGGUAGCUUAACCUUCGGGAGGGCGCUUACCACUUUGUGAUUCAUGACUGGGGUGAAGUCGUAACAAGGUAAGCGUAGUGCU
rnacentral:rRNA from 1 species